AUGUUCCUCAGCUGUACGUAAUUUUUCCAUAUGUUAUGACCUAACAUGUAGUUUUUGGGAAUCCGCGUUUUCUUUAUAAGCACAUGCCGAGUUCAAUGAUCGGACGUGAUGAAGAAGAAAUAGGGUACCCCCGUUGUGAGGGUAGGCUCAUAACUUUGGAAUACGGCAGAUUGGGGAAUUUU
rnacentral:other from 1 species